CCCAGUAGCUCAAAUGGUGAAGAAUUUGCCUGCAAUGCAGGAGACCAGGGUUCUAUCCCUGUGUUGGGA
rnacentral:tRNA from 1 species